rnacentral:rRNA from 1 species
UACAGAGGUCUCAAGCGUUUGUUCGGAUUCAUUGGGCGUAAAGGGUGCGUAGGCGGCGCGGUAAGUCGGGUGUGAAAUCUCGGGGCUUAACUCCGAAACUGCAUUCGAUACUGCCGUGCUUGAGGACUGGAGAGGAGACUGGAAUUUACGGUGUAGCGGUGAAAUGCGUAGAUAUCGUAAGGAAGACCAGUGGCGAAAGGCGGGGUCUC